UGGGGAAUAUUGCACAAUGGGCGAAAGCCUGAUGCAGCAACGCCGCGUGAGUGAUGAAGGCCUUCGGGUUGUAAAGCUCUGUCUUCUGGGACGAUAAUGACGGUACCAGAGGAGGAAGCCACGGCUAACUACGUGCCAGCAGCCGCGGUAAUACGUAGGUGGCAAGCGUUGUCCGGAUUUACUGGGCGUAAAGGAUGCGUAGGCGGAUACUUAAGUCAGAUGUGAAAAUCCCGGGCUUAACUUGGGUACUGCAUUUGAAACUGGGUAUCUAGAGUGCGGGAGAGGAAAGUGGAAUUCCUAGUGUAGCGGUGAAAUGCGUAGAGAUUAGGAAGAACACCAGUGGCGAAGGCGACUUUCUGGACCGUAACUGACGCUGAGGCAUGAAAGCGUGGGGAGCAAACA
rnacentral:rRNA from 1 species